rnacentral:sRNA from 1 species
UGACCAUCACCGGGAGGAGACUGCCUCCUCAA